GCCGGACAUGGUGGCGCAUGCCUGUAAUCCCAGCUACUCGGGAGGCUGAGGCAGGAGAAUCGCCUGAACCCGGGAGGCAGAGGUUGCGGUGAGCCGAGAUCACGCCAUUGCACUCCAGCCUGGGAGCGCACUCCAAAAGGAAAGAGUUUGGCUGUUUUUGCCCAGGCUGGAGUACAGUGGCGGGAUCUCAGCUCACCGCAACCUCUGCCUCCCGGGUUCAGGCGAUUCUCCUGCCUCA
ensembl:misc_RNA Metazoa_SRP Metazoan signal recognition particle RNA